CAUAGCCUUUAGCCUUAAUCGUAUUAAAGGUAGCGCCUGCCCAGUGACACUUAAACGGCCGCGGUAUCCUAACCGUGCAAAGGUAGCGUAAUCACUUGUCCUCUAAAUAAGGACCAGUAUGAACGGCUAAAUGAGGAUUAAACUGUCUCCUACGACUAAUCAGUGAAACUGAUCUCCCCGUCCAAAAGCUGGGAUAAACCCAUAAGACGAGAAGACCCUGUGGAGCUUAAAAUUAAAGCCACCCACACUCUGCCCCACACCACAUCAUGGCCUACAAUUUUAAGUUGGGGCGACUUCGGAACUAAGAAAAACUUCCGAGCAUAAGAACAAACAUCUUACCAAGGCCAACACGCCUAAGCACAAACUGACCCAGUCAUACUGACCAACGAACCAAGUUACCCCAGGGAUAACAGCGCUAUCUUCUUCAAGAGUCCAUAUCGCCAAGAAGGUUUACGACCUCGAUGUUGGAUCAGGACACCCAAAUGGUGCAGCCGCUAUUAAAGGUUCGUUUGUUCAACGAUUAACAGUCCUACGUGAUC
rnacentral:rRNA from 1 species